AUGCACGCUGGCGGCGUGCCUAAUACAUGCACGUCGAGCGAACGGACGAGAAGCUUGCUUCUCUGAUGUUAGCGGCGGACGGGUGAGUAACACGUGGAUAACCUACCUAUAAGACUGGGAUAACUUCGGGAAACCGGAGCUAAUACCGGAUGAUAUUUUGAACCGCAUGGUUCAAAAGUGAAAGACGGUCUUGCUGUCACUUAUAGAUGGAUCCGCGCUGCAUUAGCUAGUUGGUAAGGUAACGGCUUACCAAGGCAACGAUGCAUAGCCGACCUGAGAGGGUGAUCGGCCACACUGGAACUGAGACACGGUCCAGACUCCUACGGGAGGCAGCAGUAGGGAAUCUUCCGCAAUGGGCGAAAGCCUGACGGAGCAACGCCGCGUGAGAGAUGAAGGUCUUCGGAUCGUAAAACUCUGUUAUUAGGGAAGAACAUAUGUGUAAGUAACUGUGCACAUCUUGACGGUACCUAAUCAGAAAGCCACGGCUAACUACGUG
rnacentral:rRNA from 1 species